GGGGGUAUAGCUCAGCUGGCUAGAGCAUCUGCUUUGCAAGCAGAGGGUCAUCGGUUCGAAUCCGUUUACCUCCA
rnacentral:tRNA from 1 species